rnacentral:sRNA from 1 species
AUCCCGCUCUUGCGGAGCGCUGCAUGGCGGCCAUGCCGCCUGUGAGCUCUUCGUAGACCGAUGUAAUCGCAUGAACGUGGCGCUCGAAACUGAAACGGGCGCGUACUUCGUU